rnacentral:rRNA from 1 species
GAUGAACGCUGGCGGCGUGCCUAACACAUGCAAGUCGAGCGAACAGACGAGGAGCUUGCUCCUCUGACGUUAGCGGCGGACGGGUGAGUAACACGUGGAUAACCUACCUAUAAGACUGGGAUAACUUCGGGAAACCGGAGCUAAUACCGGAUAAUAUAUUGAACCGCAUGGUUCAAUAGUGAAAGACGGUUUUGCUGUCACUUAUAGAUGGAUCCGCGCCGCAUCAGCUAGUUGGUAAGGUAACGGCUUACCAAGGCAACGAUGCGUAGCCGACCUGAGAGGGUGAUCGGCCACACUGGAACUGAGACACGGUCCAGACUCCUACGGGAGGCAGCAGUAGGGAAUCUUCCGCAAUGGGCGAAAGCCUGACGGAGCAACGCCGCGUGAGUGAUGAAGGUCUUCGGAUCGUAAAACUCUGUUAUUAGGGAAGAACAAAUGUGUAAGUAACUAUGCACGUCUUGACGGUACCUAAUCAGAAAGCCACGGCUAACUACGUG